rnacentral:RNase_P_RNA from 1 species
CCCGCAGACCGCCUUAUCGCUUUAUGUAGAAUAAAGAGGAAAGUCCGGACACCAAAGAGUAGCAUAGCGGAUAACAUCCGUCGGCCCGUUUUGAAGCAAUUCAAACCGAGCAAGGACAAGUGCAACAGAAAGGAUGUACAGGUAAUGCUGUAGUGAAAUCAGGUAAACUCUAUGCGGUGAAAUUUCAAGUAUAUCGGCUCUUAAGGGUUACUCGCUCGUUGCCGAAGGGUAGAAAGAUGGACCUCGAGAGUAAUUUCGAGGCUAGAUAAAUGAUAAGGUAUUUUUGAAGGGUUUAGGCCUUUUAAGAAGAACAGAAUCCGGCUUACAGGUCUGCUUUUUUA